rnacentral:lncRNA from 1 species
ACAAUAAAUUCUGUAGUAAUCUUUUUAAACAACCUCUUUUCAAGGUAAUAAUCAAAUUAUAUUCUACAACCAACUAAAAUCUACUAACAUGGCUUUUACCAUGUUACUUAAUAAAUUAUAUAUUAGGUACAUAAUUAUAUUAUUUUCAUACAGUAGCCGAACCACAACACGUCAAUGUACACAAUAAGCAAGUAUCAAGUGAAUAAUGCCUCAUAACCUACACUUAAGAGUCUUAUCAAGAAGAUAGGUACUCACCAAAAUCUCGACAAGAGCAUGGAUUCAAUUAAAAGAUCUAUUGUACCACAAUUGCUACUA